UACGUAGGGACCAAGCGUUGUUCGGAUUUACUGGGCGUAAAGGGCGCGUAGGCGGCGUGGUAAGUCACUUGUGAAAUCUCUGAGCUUAACUCAGAACGGCCAAGUGAUACUGCUGUGCUAGAGUGCAGAAGGGGCAAUCGGAAUUCUUGGUGUAGCGGUGAAAUGCGUAGAUAUCAAGAGGAACACCUGAGGUGAAGACGGGUUGCUGGGCUGACACUGACGGCUGAGGCGCGGAAAGCCCAGGGGAGCAAACGGG
rnacentral:rRNA from 1 species